rnacentral:rRNA from 1 species
GAUUUCUGGCUGACCGUCCUGGCCCGCUUCUUUUACGGGAGUGAGUGCCGGUACGAGUUUGCCAUCCUUCUAGAAAGCCGCGCCUACCGUUCAUUCGUGCGGGCGUGUGCGGUCUAGAUCUUUUACUUUGAAAAAAUUAGAGUGUUUAAAGCAGGCUUACGCUAUGAAUACAUUAGCAUGGAAUAAUAAUUUAGGACUUUGGUCUUAUUUUGUUGGUUUCUAGGACUAAAGUAAUGAUUGAUAGGGACAGUUGGGGGUGCUAGUAUUCAGCGGCCAGAGGUGAAAUUCUUGGAUUCGCUGAAGACUAACUUAUGCGAAAGCAUU